CGGGAUAUAUUUAUUCAAGAGCUAGUGUUAAUCUUUGUAUCUGGUAUUCUUGACGCGGGUGUUGAAAGGUUCAAACCAAUGCUUUAUCUAUGGAAGGUGCGUUGGUACUCAUGAAUCGUUGGUCAGCUGGCUACGACAUGGACAGCGUUGCUAUGUAACGCGUUCCUUAUAUUUAUAUAAAAUAACAGUAUGAAUA